CUUCGGUGUUCAUAAUCUGCGCAUGACGAAAUCCGUUUGAAUCCGACUGCAUUUUGCAUAAUAACCACUACAGAAAACAUCAGGUAGUUGAAGCUGUUUUUGCCUCUCAACGCGAUCGGAACGUCGAACAUCACUUCAAAGAUCCUCAAAGCUAUAAGUAAG